rnacentral:rRNA from 1 species
UAGGGAAUAUUGGACAAUGGGUGAGAGCCUGAUCCAGCCAUGCCGCGUGCAGGAAGAAGGCGUUAUGCGUUGUAAACUGCUUUUUGCCAGGGGAUAAAAUGACCGUGCGCGGUUAAUUGAAGGUACCUGGUGAAUAAGCCACGGCUAACUACGUGCCAGCAGCCGCGGUAAUACGUAGGUGGCAAGCGUUGUCCGGAUUUAUUGGGUUUAAAGGGUGCGUAGGUGGCCCUGUAAGUCAGUGGUGAAAUAUCUCAGCUUAACUGAGAGGGUGCCAUUGAUACUGCAGGGCUUGAGUACAGAUGAGGUAGGCGGAAUUGACGGUGUAGCGGUGAAAUGCAUAGAUAUAGGAAGGAACACCAGUGGCGAAGGCGACCACCUGGACUGAUACUGACACUGAGGUGCGAAAGCGUGGGGAGCAAACAGGAUUAGAUACCCCGGUAGUCCCUGAGCGGGCUGGCAAGGCGCAU